AGCUCAGUUGGUUUAGAGCAUUACCUUGACAGGGUAGGGGUCACUGGUUCGAAUCCAGUA
rnacentral:tRNA from 1 species